GGAUAGGGCCUCGCUGCCUUGCCCGUCUGGCGCCAUAUUCACCCAUGUCUUUUUGCGUACUACUUGUUUCCUUGGCGGGUCCGCCCGCCAAUUGGACCUUAUUCAAACCUUUUUUUCAGUUGCAAUCAGCGUCAGCAAAACAAAUGUAAUCAAUUACAACUUUCAACAACGGAUCUCUUGGUUCUGGCAUCGAUGAAGAACGCAGCGAAAUGCGAUAAGUAGUGUGAAUUGCAGAAUUCAGUGAAUCAUCGAAUCUUUGAACGCACAUUGCGCCCUUUGGUAUUCCAAAGGGCAUGCCUGUUCGAGCGUCAUUUGUACCCUCAAGCUUUGCUUGGUGUUGGGCGUCUUGUCUCUCUCCCGAGACUCGCCUUAAAAUCAUUGGCAGCCGGCCUACUGGUUUCGGAGCGCAGCACAUUAUUUGCGCUCUUGUCCAGCCGCGGUCGCGCGUCCAUGAAGCUUCUUUCAACCUUUUGACCUC
rnacentral:rRNA from 1 species